UCCUACGGGAGGCAGCAGUGGGGAAUAUUGCACAAUGGGGGAAACCCUGAUGCAGCCAUGCCGCGUGUGUGAAGAAGGCCUUCGGGUUGUAAAGCACUUUCAGUAGGGAGGAAGGUAGUGUAGUUAACACCUGCAUUAUUUGACGUUACCUACAGAAGAAGCACCGGCUAACUCCGUGCCAGCAGCCGCGGUAAUACGGAGGGUGCGAGCGUUAAUCGGAAUUACUGGGCGUAAAGCGCAUGCAGGCGGCCUGUUAAGUCAGAUGUGAAAGCCCGGGGCUUAACCUCGGAAUUGCAUUUGAAACUGGCAGGCUAGAGUCUUGUAGAGGGGGGUAGAAUUUCAGGUGUAGCGGUGAAAUGCGUAGAGAUCUGAAGGAAUACCAGUGGCGAAGGCGGCCCCCUGGACAAAGACUGACGCUCAGAUGCGAAAGCGUGGGGAGCAAACAGGAUUAGAUACCCUGGUAGUCCACGCCGUAAACGAUGUCUACUUGGAGGUUGUGGCCUUGAGCCGUGGCUUUCGGAGCUAACGCGUUAAGUAGACCGCCUGGGGAGUACGGUCGCAAGAUUAAAACUCAAAUGAAUUGACGGA
rnacentral:rRNA from 2 species